rnacentral:lncRNA from 1 species
AUGCCGCGGCCCCGGCGGGCGGAGAGGACGGGAAGCGAGAGGGAGACACGACCCGGGGUAGCAAAGGAAGGGCACGCCGGUAACGAGGUGCAGGAGAGCCCCCACCUCCCGCACGCCGCUCGCCGGCCAGGGGCAGGGAGCGGCGAUGAAGCCCCGGAACGGCGCAGGGACAGCACCCGCACGCACCUCGCAGGGACUGCAGGGCAGCGGCGGGGAGGGGCGGCCCGAGGGCGGAGGGACCGGGCGGACGGGACCCCGCCGGCAGCACGAGCCCCACCUACCCCGGCCGCCGCCGCCGCCGCCGCCGCCUCCCGGUGCCGGGCCUGGGCCGCCGUUGCCGCCCACCACGUGACCGAGAGGAGGGGGCGGUGCCCCACCGGGCGGUUCCGGGUGCGGGGCGGAGGGCGCCCGAGCGCUUCCGGCGGCCGAACAAUGCGGUUCCGAGUCGCCGUCCUGGGCUGCGGUGGCGGCGCCUGUCCGUAGCCGGAGGCCGCGGCGUGCGCUGCGGUGGGAGCGGCCGCGGGUGCCAGCGGGGCGACGCGGCCCGGCGCUGCAGGUACCCGCUUCUGUCUUUCUCUCUCCUUCUCGAGGGGCCGGGGCUGUUUCGCCUUUGGUUGCGGUUUUGAGCACGGUUUUGAGGAGGGCUUGGGGUCAUUUGAUCGCUUUUUCCUCCUGGAGCUCAGCAGUAGUGGAAACUGAACUUGAGUCAGGAGACUGGUGGCUCUACUUCAUGUAGGCUCAGCAGAACUGGUUGUACUGCAGGACGGUGCUGCCCCUGCUUGCGAACUCUCCGGGGUCCCUUAGUUCUGAAAGCUCCUGAAAUCCUGGUGCAAUUUUGUCAUGUUCUACGCUGGAAGAUCUGCUUGAUGGACUUGAGUAGUGAGGAGGUUGCAUCUCUGAUGGAUGUCUGAUCAGCAAUCUGCAACAACCCUCCUUGUCAACAGAUAGUCCUAAAAGUAUUCCUCUGUGAACCUUUGUCAUGUGAAUUCAUAUAUUUUCCUGUUGCACACAUGAAGCUGACAUCUCACGCCCCAAGAGAACAGCAUCUGCUUUUAUCUAUAAACUUCAAAGCUUCUGCUCAAGCUUUGUUUGGUGUUUUUAAGAGGUUUGAGGUGUCAGUUUUGCUUUGCUUUGUUACUUUUAUCUCACCAAAUCUUGCAUCAUUUAGUGCCUGUGAUUUCUCCACUUCCUGCAAUCCCAGCUCUGGCAGGAUUGCGUGAGCAAUGUUUCAUUGAGAAUCAGUGUAGCCUCAUAAAAACUCUUAAAAGAACUGUUGAAAGUCAAAAGAUUAAUACUUGUUUGGUGGGAGAGCCACCAUUCUUCAUUCCAAGUACUAUCAAACAAGAACAAACUUCCUAGAGGAGUGAUCUGCCAAAGAUGACAAGCUACAUUGCCUUAGUAUACAGAACAGGGAUUCUAGAAGCACAAUUCAUGUUAAGAAGGGUGUUUGUAUGUCUGAUAAGUGCAAAGUUCUAUCUCGCCUUGAAUCUAUUUGAAUCAAUGAAAGCUCUUUAGGCAUUAAAGGAAAUCAGAAACCAAAAGCUAAAGGGAUAUCAUUGUUAUUUAGUAAAGACAAAAUCUCUGAGGAGUUUUAAUGUGGAAGUAAAGCUUAACAAGAGCUAAGGCUGCUAAAACUACUGCGCUGGCUUCCCUUUGAAUCCGAAACAAAUAGUGCGGUAAACAUCUUAACUGUUUAGGAUACAGCUUCAGGAGAAUUCUUUAUUCUCUACUUUAUAGCCAAGCUGCAUUAAAUGAAAAAAAGGUGAAAGCUAUUGUAAGGCGACGUGUAAACUUGAUUGUCUUUUUCUUCUCUUCACUUGUCACACGCUUUAGUGUUUGUUUAGGAUAUAAUACCUGAUUAAACACACACCUUAUAUUAUUGCUGUAGACCUUUCUAAGUUGCAUUUUAGAAAAUGAAAAAAGUUCUCACUUGGUGUUUUUUUUUCUUGCUGC